ensembl:misc_RNA Metazoa_SRP Metazoan signal recognition particle RNA
GCCGGGCACGGUGGCGCUGCCUGUACUGCUGGGGAGGCUGAGGCUGGAGGAUCUCUUGGGUCCAGGAGUUCUGGGCUGUAGUGUACUAUGCCAGUCGGUGUCUGCACUAAGUUCAGCAUCAGUAUGGUGACCUCCCAGGAACAGGGGACCACCAGGUUGCCUAAGGAGGGGUAAACCAGCCAAGGUCAGAAAUGGAGCAGGUCAAAACUCCCAUGCUGAUCAGUAGUGGGACUGCGCCUGUGAAUGGCCACUGCACUCCAGCCUGGGCAGCAUAGCGAGACCCUGUCUCU